UCGGGCUCGGGGAGACGCUGGAGCUCCAGACACAGCAGGAGCGAGCAAGCGAGCGAGCGAGCGAGCUGCGCGGGUGCAGUCGCCGGCUCGCCCUGGCCGCCGCGCACUCCGCCUCCGCGUUGAGCAGCGGGAACUGCAGCGGCUCCGAGCCUCCGGGCUCUGCUCCGUUCCCGGGCCCGCGCUCCAGCCCGCUCUGCCCGCCGCACCGCCCCCGGCAGUGCUCAGCCCGCAGCGAUUUGACUUCCCUCUGCCGGCCUCUCCAGUUCUAUAGAUCUCUCGCUGCCUGGGCUCCACUCUGCUCGGUGUAGGCAACACACCGUUUGCUCUACUCUUCCCCCCCUUGAGCCGUAGACACUCUGCUUGCUUUUUCCCCUCUUCCCUCCUCCUUUUUUUUACGGAAAACAUCAUCUAGAUUUAAGAUGACUCGUCUUCUUUAAUCUCGUCCGUAUCAGCACUGAAGACUGAAAGGGAACCUUCACCACCACUCCAACCCUGGUGGCACUUUAAAAAAAAAAAAUAACAGUUC
rnacentral:lncRNA from 1 species